rnacentral:rRNA from 1 species
UACGGAGGGUGCAAACGUUGCUCGGAAUUAUUGGGCGUAAAGAGCUCGUAGGCGGUUUGUCGCGUCGAAUGUGAAAACCCGGGGCUCAACCCCGGGCCUGCAUUCGAUACGGGCAGACUAGAGUUCGGUAGGGGAGUCUGGAAUUCCUGGUGUAGCGGUGAAAUGCGCAGAUAUCAGGAGGAACACCGGUGGCGAAGGCGGGACUCUGGGCCGAUACUGACGCUGAGGAGCGAAAGCGUGGGGAGCAAACAGG